CUCUCAGCUGAAAAUCCCCUGCCUAUUCGGGCUGCAUGUUACCCGUUUCAGCUGCUCACCCUUAUCUGCUCCAGGACAAGGCACAGGACACGUCCGUUUAUACCGCCGCCAUUUUUCCUCUCCCUGAAUUUGGACUAUUAUGAAGCUAACUGUUGGGCCUUUUAACUGUGUCCGGCCUUGGUCACGACAGUCCUGGCCCGCGGUGAGAAAACAGGAGUGGACUGCAGCUUUGCCUCACCAUCUGCCGUCUUUUCAAAUGUUUGUUUGAAGAGAAAUGACCUGUGGAAUCACACUUCACUGUGAGUGGCACCAAGCAACCUUUCAGAAGAGGCCUUGGCCAUCCGGUGAAGCCGAUCAGAGCUCUCCCUCCAGGGGGCGCCAUCCCCACGCAGUCCCUGGGCACAGCAGCCCAGUCCAGGGACAGGCAGGUGCUCACACCACCUUUGCCAGCAUGACUCAGACUCCUACAUUUCUUACCGAAGAGAUUCUUCUGUUGAUGAGUUAAGAUAAUACCUUUUUAUAUUUGUUAUGUCAUGCUUUUUCUCAUACUUACCUGUUGGAGAAAUAAAUUGGAAUUCUGCCUCAUGAAAGUAAAAUUUGGCAUAUGACACAAUAUAUAGUAAAAAGAUAAUUUCACUGAUUAAAAAGUUACCUUAUUAAUAUUG